AGCAGCCGCGGUUUGGGGUGGGGUCUUCAAAUCCGCUCCUGG
rnacentral:tRNA from 14 species